rnacentral:rRNA from 1 species
CUGAAAGGUAAAGGGACGUUACUCUUCGGAGUGAGAGCGUACACAGGUGCUGCAUGGCUGUCGUCAGCUCGUGUCGUGAGAUGUUGGGUUAAGUCCCGCAACGAGCGCAACCCUGCAUUCAGUUGCCAUCGGUAAGGCCGGGCACUCUGGAUGGACUGCCGGCGACAAGCCGGAGGAAGGUGGGGACGACGUCAAGUCAUCAUGGCCCUUAUGUCCAGGGCGACACACGUGCUACAAUGGCCGGCACAACGGGAAGCGAAGGGGCGACCCUGAGCGGAUCCCACAAAAGCCGGUCUCAGUUCGGAUUGCAGUCUGCAACUCGACUGCAUGAAGUUGGAAUCGCUAGUAAUCGUGGAUCAGCCAAGCCGCGGUGAAUACGUUCCCGGGCCUU